CAUUACUGAGAAAAACAUUUGGAGUUUUUUUUUAUAUCCCUUUGUUUACCUACCCUGUUGCUUCCCACCAGAGAAAGUUCUUUCCCUGGUGGUAGGAUUCUAUAAACAAAAUUUUGUGAACAAAUGUCUGAUAAAACUCUGAAAAUAGAAAUAAAACUUUCAACAACGGAUCUCUAGGCUCUUGCAUCGAUGAAGAACGCAGUGAAAUGCGAUAAGUAAUGUGAAUUGCAGAAUCUCGUGAAUCAUCGAAUCUUUGAACGCACAUUGCGCCCUAUGGUAUUCCAUAGGGCAUGCCUGUCUGAGCGUCAGCUCCCCCACACUCAAGUCUCUUAAUUGAAGCUUGGAUUAUUUUAAAGAAGUGGCUGAAACACAAUAGGCUACUCUUUAGAAAUUCAUAGGCAGUAUGGCACCUGAACUAGGCGUAAUAAGAAUAUAAAAGCGUCUCUCUUUAGGAAGGUUGUACUUGCCUUAACCCACCCAUUUUCUUCUGGGUGACCUCAGAUCAGGUAGGGAUACCCGCUGAACUUAAGCAUAUCAAUAAGC
rnacentral:rRNA from 1 species